GGUUCUGUAGUGAAAUUCAUACUGAGUUGCAAACUCAGUGAUGUACAUUAGACAUGUGCCAGGACUU
rnacentral:tRNA from 1 species